UACGAAGGGGGCUAGCGUUGCUCGGAAUUACUGGGCGUAAAGCGCACGUAGGCGGUCUUUUAAGUCGGGGGUGAAAUCCUGGAGCUCAACUCCAGAACUGCCUUCGAUACUGGAAGACUUGAGUCCGGGAGAGGUGAGUGGAACUGCGAGUGUAGAGGUGAAAUUCGUAGAUAUUCGCAAGAACACCGGUGGCGAAGGCGGCUCACUGGCCCGGUACUGACGCUGAGGUGCGAAAGCGUGGGGAGCAAACAGG
rnacentral:rRNA from 1 species